rnacentral:rRNA from 1 species
UACGGGGGUAGCAAGCGUUGUUCGGAUUUACUGGGCGUAAAGGGCGCGUAGGCGGCCAGUGCACUUCAGUUGUGAAAUCUCCGAGCUUAACUCGGAAAGGUCAACUGAUACUGCUCGGCUAGAGUGCGGAAGGGGCAACUGGAAUUCUCGGUGUAGCGGUGAAAUGCGUAGAUAUCGAGAGGAACACCUGCGGCGAAGGCGGGUUGCUGGGCCGACACUGACGCUGAGUGAGCGAAAGCCAGGGGAGCAAACGGG